UUGAAUUUUAACUCGUCUGCUUUUUUAAUUUCAUUUAAUUUCAAGUUAUGCAAUUUGAUUUUUUAGCCUUGUGUUUAUUAUCUAUUUGGCUGGUCUUUUUUGGCCCUUUGACCGUUCAGGCCUACAGUUUUAAUUUGAAACUGCGUCUUAUUUCGGUCACAACUUUUUUCUUAAUUUUUCUUAUCACAGAUUCUGGUUAACUAUCAGUUGGAUAUGGUUAAUUUGGUAAUUGUGUAUGGCAGGUUUGUCUGUGAUUCAAAUUGGUUUGUACCAAGUGCAGUUAUUGAACAUAUAUCAUCAUCUUAAAAGGUUGUUUACUUGGACAAGUUGGCCGUGACUCUUGGUCAGGUUUAACCCUUACCAUAAGUCAAGCUUCAAUGCAGCUCCAUCUCAUUUAGUUGGCCUGAUUUAUGCCAAAUUAAGUCAAGAAAAAAUUGCUUCCAAUUGUUGGCAAAAAUCUGUUCAAUGUUAUGCUUUGCCUUGGACUAACGUUUGGUGUUAUUAUCCACCAAUAAGCCGUUUAUAGAUUUUGGUUCAUCACUAUUCAUUGUAAAGUGUAAUCUUUGAUUGUGAUUCAUCCCACAUUCAUCUAUUGAAGCGAAAUUAUACUUUCAAAGGACCAAAAAUGCAUGUGAUUUUGGUUGUACGGAUUUACCUUGAAGAAGAUUACUCAAGUUUCCAGUUUUUUCGGCUCAAUGGAAAGGUGAUUCCAAUCUUCAUCAAAAGCAAAUUAAUGACUGUGAUUAUUGGAAAUAUGUUAGUGAGAAAAGCAAAUGCUGUCUGCCAAAAAAACGAUGAAACAUGAAUGGAAGUUAUUUUCAAUUGGCUGAUUAAAAAAGGUUGUUACAAUGAAAAGUAGCAGCAAUUAAUAAGUACUUUGAUUGGAUUAAGUAUUCACAGUUAAGCUGUUGACACAUUAUACAUGCAAAAAACAAGAACUUCAAUGUAGAAGCGUGAUUCACAUUUUGUUUUUUACUUCACAAGGCAAAGGGGAAAAGGAUUAUUUAAAAGAUGCUGAAAGCAAAUGAUUCUAAUCAUCAACAUCAUCGUCAUCAUCAUUGUUGUAAAAUGGAAAAGAAUUGCUCAUUUGAUUGAAAUUUAAAAUCGCUUUAAGGUAUAGAGUUAUAAUUAACCAACAUAAAGCUCAUUUGGUUGUUUUUUUACUUAUAACAAUGCUUUUCAAAUCCUAUUAAUUGAUGAUUCAACAAAGCCCAGUCAAUUUACGGCCCAAUACAUUAGCUUAUAAUUGCAAUUGUUUCCCCUCAUCAUCAUUGCUAUGAAAGGAAAGGAGAAAAAGGAAAGAUCCUUUUCUUUGCCAACUUGAUGUUACUGAAUGUUUCUUGUACAAUAAUGGCUCUGAAUUUACCUCUGAUCUUUAGGUGCUGUGAAAUGAAAAGUCUGGUUAAAGCUCAGAGCUGCUCAUUAUUAUACCCAUCAUUGUGACAAAUCAAGCUUUUUUUUAAAGCUCAACAUCAUCUUUACCUUUCAAAAGUAAUUGCAAUUCAUUAAUGAAUGUUUCACAGUUGCAAAAAAUUGGAAACAAUAAAUAACAAAUGAAAGGCAAUUUAAUGAAUUUCUUGCUGCAGUUAUUAAAAUGAGAUUUUUUUUCUCAUUUUCUCUUCAUUUUCCCAUUCAAAUCACUAUUUUGGACUGUUCAUAGUAAUUGGACGAGCAUUUGCUACAAUUUACUUCGAUUUUCACUUCAUUGCUAACCAUGAAAUAUCUUCAUACAAUAGAUAAGUAUAGUUCAAAUGUUUUCUAAAUGAAUUGAAACUUCAUAUUUUUUCUCUGAUGAACUCUUUUAUUCUAUUUUAUACUUUUUAGACUCAUCAUUUCAUCAAAAAUUCAAGAAAAACUGAAAAAGAGGAGCAAAAGUUACAAUUCAAGUUGAAAUCUUUGAUUAUGGAAGCUGAUGGAAGCACAAAAAUACAAACCUGUAAUUUGUAAUUGGAAAUUCAACUAUUCUGAAUUGAUAAUUCUGUUCAACUCGCAAAAAGAAAUGAAUCCAUUUAAUGAAAUGUCAAAUUGAUAAAAUUUGAAACAAUUAUAAACAAGGAAUGGCAAAAAUUUUCAUCUUCUCUCCUGCUUCAGUUUCAUCAAAGUGAUCCUUUUCUCAAUGACUUGAAUGGCAUUGUACUACAUAAUGAAGAUGAUAAGUUAUCACUUUGCAUCGUUCAAGUCCAAUAAAGGAAGCAUGGAUAAAGAAGAGGUCUUGACGGGAGAAAAAAGAAGGAGGAAAAAAAGUCAAAGUAAAGUCUAGUUGUCUUCAAUCAAAAAGAGCUAAAGUGUACUUUAUCAUUAUCGUCAUCAUUUUCAAUACAACAUCUCAUACAAUCCUGUCUUCCGACCAUUGGCUGAGUCUUUAUUUGCUUCACCAUUUGCUUAUUAAUAUAUUUACCAUACUUGAAAAAGCUGAAAGUGAUGCAGAAAGGAACAAGAGAGAGAGAAAAAAAAAAGAGUAAAGAGAAGAACAAAAAACUUGACAUCUUCCUCUUCAUCACCUCAUCUUAUUUACUACAUUCACUUUGGUCCUCAUACUCUUGGUAUCAUUGAAGAUAAUCAUUAUUAUCACCAUCAUCAUCAUCAUUUCUCUGCACUUUUCAUUCUUCUCCAGCCAUCUGAAUGUCAACUUUAUCCUCCUCAUCAUCAUAAUCAUUCUCAUCAUUUACAUGCCUUCCAUAAUCUCAUGCAUUCCAAGUAAUUUCUUUACUCAGCCAAAGAACGAUUCUUUCACCACUCAACCACUCGUUCAAACCUAUUUGUGUAAUUCAAUUUUCAGGUCACUUAUCAACUUUAAUGAGUUGUCCAAAUAAUAUCAUUACACAAACACAGAGGAGUUAAAAAGAAUGCUUUGAAAGAGUAAAAAAAGCAAUUUUUCUCUACUCAA